GUCAAUAUAGUGAAUGUAAUCACACUAUCUUUUCAAGAUAGAGUAGUUUUUAACUUUUGAUA
rnacentral:tRNA from 1 species